rnacentral:rRNA from 1 species
GACAGAGGGUGCAAACGUUGUUCGGAAUUACUGGGCGUAAAGCGCGUGUAGGCGGCUAUGUAAGUCGGGCGUGAAAUCCCACGGCUCAACCGUGGAAGUGCACUCGAAACUGCAUAGCUAGAGUCCUGGAGAGGAAGGUGGAAUGCUUGGUGUAGAGGUGAAAUUCGUAGAUAUCAAGCGGAACACCGGUGGCGAAGGCGGCCUUCUGGACAGUGACUGACGCUGAGGAGCGAAAGCGUGGGGAGCGAACAGG